AUACGGAGGAUCCGAGCGUUAUCCGGAUUUAUUGGGUUUAAAGGGUGCGCAGGCGGCCAUUUAAGUCAGCGGUUAAAUCGUGGGGCUCAACCCCAUUCUGCCGUUGAUACUGGGUGGCUUGAUUGCGGUCGAGGUUGGCGGAAUUCGUUGUGUAGCGGUGAAAUGCAUAGAUAUGACGAAGAACACCGAUUGCGUAGGCAGCUGACCAGACCGCAAAUGACGCUCAUGCACGAAAGUGCGGGGAUCGAACAGGAUUAGAUACCCUGGUAGGCCGCACAGUAAACGAUGAAUACUUGUUUUCGGCGAUAUAAUGUCGGAGGCAAAGCGAAAGCGAUAAGUAUUCCCCCUGGGGAGUACGCCGGCAACGGUGAAACUCAAAUGAAUUGACGGGG
rnacentral:rRNA from 1 species